AGGCAUUCUUCUACCAGACAGCAACCAGCGUCCAGGAAUUAAAGCAAGUGCCCGGCCCCCACUCAAGGCUGAAGAUGCCUACGAGUGUCCCGUCGACGUGGGUGAGUCAGAUGGGCCCUCCACCUCCUCUCCUCGUCCAGCCCUCCUCCACGCGCGGAUAACCAGCUCAGCGGUCGGUGACGCGUGUCCUUCUGACGCAUCCACUGAUGUGUUGUGUAAAGAACGGCUGCGGGCAGGGGUGUUUCCCCCCUGCUGAGCACACCUGCCUUCCCUUCCACUGGCUCGCGGCCGCCCCCUGCUGCCCAGGACACGGAAACGUGGCUGCGCCCCAGAGGGGAAGCCGGAGGCAACUUUGUUCCUGAGAGACCCAGAUGGGAAAGACCUUGGGUGGCCUCAGCAGGUGGCCAGAGGGACGUGUACAGCAUGAUGACAUCAGCGGGAAGUAGGAGCGCAUUAGGAAGCCUUCCACAACGUAGCAGCCGUGCUGGUCUGCUUACACCAACCUCCAGGCGGACCUGGUCCACGCUGAGAGGUGAGCAAGAAAAUGUAGCAGAGCCGCAGCGAGCGCUACCUGCCCGAGCUUGCUG
rnacentral:lncRNA from 1 species